rnacentral:rRNA from 1 species
GUGCAAUUGUCACAUGGGUCUGAUGUAUUCCGAUGGAACCUCCAUGGGAAUGGACAAUUCUCAGUGGAGUCUAUGUAUAGAGCGUUAAUCCAGUCUGAUGUGCCAGUUAAUAAUAACAAGAAGAUCUGGAAGAUGAAGAUACCACUUAAGAAUAAAUUUUUUGCAUGGUAUCUUCGUCGCGGAGUCAUUCUUACUAAAGAUAACCUUAUUAAAAGGAAUUGGCAUGGAAAUCCGCAUUGUGUCUUUUGUGACCAUGAGGAUACAAUAAAACAUUUAUUCUUCCAAUCCAAAUUAGCUCGUUCUAUAUGGUCAGUCAUCCAAAUAGCUUCUGGCUUGUAUCCUCCCUGUAGUGUUGCUAAUGUAUUUGGCAACUGGUUGCAUGGGAUUGAUCAUAAGUUUAGACCUCUUCUCAGGGUGGGAGCGCUUUGGCUAUGUAGAAAUGAUAAGGUUUUUAACGAUAAAAGUACGUCUUUGUUGCAGGUUAUCUAG